rnacentral:rRNA from 1 species
UACGUAGGGUGCAAGCGUUGUCCGGAAUUAUUGGGCGUAAAGAGCUCGUAGGCGGUUUGUCGCGUCUGCUGUGAAAACUCGGGGCUUAACUCCGGGCCUGCAGUGGGUACGGGCAGACUAGAGUGCGGUAGGGGAGACUGGAAUUCCUGGUGUAGCGGUGAAAUGCGCAGAUAUCAGGAAGAACACCAAUGGCGAAAGCAGCUCUCUGGGACGGUACUGACGCUGAGAUGCGAAAGCGUGGGGAGCGAACAGG